rnacentral:lncRNA from 1 species
AGGAGUAUAUUACUUAUUACAUCAAUCACAUGUGAUUAAUAUACAACAUUCAAAAGAUUUGGCUACUCAUUAGCCGUUUUACCAAACAGUUUCCUUCAAAUGAUUUUUAUAAACAUUUUAUAUGUUUUAAACUCCUUAUUACACUGUACCUCUUACUCUGUUUAUCAUAUUUCAAACUUAUUUACAACUGUGUUUCAAACAAAUGUUCCUUAUACUUAUAUUGUUUUAUCAAACUUAUGCCUUCAAAUUGUUUUAUAGAUUGACAUCAAGUCGAUCUUUCCUUAAACUAAUAUUUAUGUUUCAAAUGUUUUACCAAACUUAUUUAUGCUUUUAUAUUAUAAAUUGCAUGCCUCUAUAUGUAUAGUUAUAUAAGAAAUGUUUAAAAGACUUAGGAAGGCUAUCCACCCUAUUUCCUUUUCGCGCCUUGAGAUGUGGUCUGGUGGGAUAUUGGAUACUCGUCCGAAGGUCGUUUAAAUAUUAGUUAUAUAUCAUGUGUACAUAUAAAGUCAUAAAAGGUUCUUCUAGUUCAUCCUAUGCCCUUGGGUAGCAAGGGUAUACAUCCACGUCCAUACGUACCACUUAGAUUACUAGUAAGCUACCAUAUGGGUAGUUCAGGAAGAUACUAGAACUAUUACUAGAACACGAUAUCAUACAACGAGUCAGUUCAUUCAUGAGUCAAUACUUUCUAGAACGUUGCUGUGCAAUACAUAUACAUCUAUAUUAGGACGAGAACAUAUACAAUUAUACUAGAACGCUUACAUGACAAUACUUGCUAGAUAAAGAGAUCACACAUUACAGCUAGCACACGUAGAACAUUUCAGUACACCAUAAGUACAAUUACGUGAUCACACUUACAUGAGUACGCUUUCAUAUACAUAGGAUAGACGUCAUUAGGGGCUAUAGCUCAGAACCAGUUUAGGAUCUAACUAUACUGAUAAAUCACACUACGAUUGUGAUUGUUAUAUCGAGUAUACAUGAUCGCAGGUAAUGUGGUGCUCACGGCUUGCAUUCAUGCAGGGGUCGUGUGUGGGUCCUAAAAUCCCUCUGAUAGGGGAGCGAAACAGUCUGGGAUCUAGACAUCACAUUAUACCUUAUCCAUCAAAUAAGGCAAGUUGAGUAUCGGUGUAUUGAUAUAUAUACAUAUAUAUAUCCAAAUACUGUGGUACUUGGUAGUAUUACCCUAGAUUUAAGGUAAUAGGUACGGUUGUAGUUUGACACUACACCAUAGUACCAUCUCUUUCCCAUUACAUUCACUUCGCGAAUUUUUCAUAGGAAGCGCGGUAAUGUAGAUGCUAUCUGUUGAUAAAUAGUAGCCCUUUUAGAGCUACGAUUUAGUACUACGUUAAUUUUUCCAGUACAUAUUUCAGUGAUAACCUCACUUAAACAUAAAUAUACAAACGAUAUUUUGAGUAAUGAUAGUUAUACUUUGGAAAAAUACAUACUCUUACAAGAGACACACACACACAGAACAGUUAAGUCUUGGUAGAAGACUCCUUUUGUUACUAAUAGGAAUCAUAGGGAUUUCUAGGGAUUUUCAAACAUAUACAGUUGAGCUACAAAUAUUUUCAUACUUAUACUCGUUUUCUUUCAAAGCAAUGUCAAGUCUUAGAAAUUAUAAGUUUUCACAAAUUAAGACACAUUAAUACUUAUGAUCUCACCAGCUUUAUAGCUGAUACUCGCUUUCAAAAUUACUUGUAUCCUCAGGUCAUCAUAGACAGGUACCGAUGCAAGGAGAAAGGAAGAUGGAGCUUAUUCAAGACUUAUCUUUCAUUUUGAUUUAUGCUUUAGUGUUUAUCAAAAUUUGACAGAAUACAAUUGUAUAAUAAUUAUUUUAUUAAUGCAAUGGAUGAUGUUGUUGCUUGUUUACUACUUUACAUUGUUGUUGAUAUUAUACAUGACGUCCUCCGCCCCAGAACGUUUCCGCCGUUCUCGGUUUUGGGGUGUGACAGAUUGGUAUCAGAGCAUUGUUUAUAGUGAAUUGAGUAUAUCAACCCAUAAAAGAUAUACUAACUAUAAAUACAAUGGGAUUAAAAAUACUCUGAUUUAGAGUUUAUACUUUAAAUAAUAAAAUAUUUAAGUAAGUAUACGUGCCUGCAUUCAUACUAAAAUCAGUGUCACUAGGACAGUACAAAAGAAUUACGAUUGUUGGGCAACACAAGUGUGCUUAGAGACAUAUGGUCAAAACUGGGAAGAUAUAGCCUGAUCGCCUAUAUUAUCCGAGGGUUGACUAGCAUGUGCCUAAGUUUAAGUGUGUGGUUGCAACAAUGCUAAAAUCUUACCAACCCUACCACAAUGAGAACAAUAGAACAUAACAUAAAAAUUUAAAAUACUAUAGGAGUAUUUGGUGUUACUAUAAGUACUUUAUACUUGAGAAUUAAAACGGAAUCCUCAUUACUAAGUUGAUAGUUGCUAAGUGGAUACACUAAGGCUACAUGUAAUUAGGAUGUUAUAGACUUAGAAUCAGUGGUAAUUUUGCCUUACCCCUAUUCUGUGUGAAUUUGGAAAUAAGGUCACUUAUUCGAAGGUCUAUCCUGUUUAGAUUACACAUAGCUGGUAUGCACUUCACAAUUAGCGAUGUAACUAAUGAAGGUUUUCUAAAUAAUUAUCUAGAUAGUUCGUCUAAUAAUUAUCCUCUUACCCUAAAUUCUCGCAUAAAAAUCAUAGCUGGACUCCAUUCCCUUGACAACCAGUACCUUCCGAAUGAAGUCAUAGCUGGUUGGUUUGGAGAAGAACCAGAGAAUGAUCAUCCUAUCCCCUUGGAUGAUCACCGUAAUGAAGACUUUUUGUACGAUGCUAACCCCGAGCCAGAGGUUGAGAACCUACCCCGAGUAGCUCCCAUUUCAAAUUCCUAACCCUCUUCCGGCUUUUCAUAGCCUGACCCUGAGUGAGUGGAAUGCUUGGAAACAUGGAGCCAAGAACAAGAUCAGCCCAUGCCAUUUAUUGGCAACCGAAACUUUUACGACUUGAGCAAUGAGGGCUUAGCAGAUAUAGUCUUGCCAAUCUUGGUCCGCAGAGAGGCCAUAAAUGAGAUUCAAGGCAGGACAACCCUACAUCAGAUUUCAGAAGAAGUCGCCUAUGCUAGAACGCAUACCCUCCACACCCUUCUUCUAGAGGAUGCUCACGAGAGAUCAGAGAGAAACCACGAAACCCUGCUGCAAGAACUGGCUGAAUCACGAACCGAAGUCAUAGGACUCCGAGUAUGCCACAUGGUGUGCGAAAGACAUCUACUUGACAAUGGAACGUCAAUUGAUUGAACUAAGAGUUCACCAGAGGGAUGACCGUCGCCCGUAGUAGACGCUUUACUUUAUUUCCCUUAUAACAAGAGACCGUGUUUUUCUGUCUAUGCCCGAUGUGGUAUUUUCUAUGAAAUUAUCUUGAUUCCGUAAGUACUUUAGUUAGGUCUUUAUGCUGUCAGGAACUAUCUUCUGGGGAUAUGAUGUGAUACCUUUAAAAGGCCGUUUUCCAAAACCCUUACAUCGUGAAUAUCAAAGAUAUUGACAGCCGGCUAACUUCUGUGUCAUUCUUCAUUCAAGUACUUUUAUCUUACCUUCAUUCGAGUCUAUCUGAAACAUGCUUUAGUCAAGUCAUUGGACUAUGGUGAUUUAUUCAGGAGACACUUCCAAGUCUCCUUCAGUGGUUGGAUCUUGUUAUUCACCAACCCACGAUACCUCAGCUCGAACGACAAACGUCUUGUGACCAUUCUACGAUCAUACUUCCAUUCCGUACUAGGACUGCAUCAUAGGGAUGUAGGUCAAACUUUAGAGAUCAUACUCUUACUCUUUUCAUGAACAAUCUAAGUACAUCAGGGUCAACCAUAAUCGCUUACAAAUCUUUACUCUUUCAUGUUACAGAAUCAUGGCGUCGUCCGGAAACAACCAGCCAAGCAACGAGACCUCUACUUUUCCGAUGGACGCCGCCACCUUUCAAACGACAGUUACAGCUGCUGUAGUGGCGGCCGUAACCGCGGUCAUGGCGCACCGUAGCGCUAACAGCACAGUCAAUGCUGCUAAUGGGAAUAAAGUUUCCAAUCGCAAUAUCCAUCCAGGAAGUCAUCCAACAGUAACAUCCACAGGCUCGCAAAGCCAGAAAGCAGAGAACAAGAAAAGAAAAUGUCAAGCCAAAGUGGAACGCAAACGGUUUCAGAAAAUUGCCAGACAGCAGCCACAAACCUCUGCCAUCCCAGUACCGAGCAGACCAUAUAAGGGAACACUCCCGAAGUGCGACCGGUGCAAUUUCCACCACGAGGGAAUGUGCCGCGUCUUGCAGUGCGUGAACUGCAACAAGAAAGGACACAUCGCCCGUUUCUGUAAAGCUACCUUCACCACUAGGGCCAGCCUAAAUUGCUAUAACUGUGGUGAGUUUGGGCACUAUAAAAGAGAUUGCCCAAAGAAGGAAAACAAGGAAAGCACCCGUGUUCCCAUAACUCCUACCCUACACUUCACUUCCUCCACUGAUGUGAGUACUAGCCAGUCAUGCCACCAAUGCGGUGAGUUAGGGCACUUCAAGAAGGAUUGCCCGAUAACGCAGAACCCUGGCGCAGACGGGAAGAUUCCCAGGAUCACAGCUGCAGGAGAGCCUGCUCAGGAACCACGUUAAUGUAUUUAAGGCGUUUCGUUGUAACAGACUUAUAAACUAUCUAGAACUAGUGCAACUAGAGUCUUACCUUUUGCGAGAUCCUGUCUGUAUAGGAAUGCUCGUGCUGCGUAUACUUGUCUUUUGUAGUAUAUCUUAUUCGCAGCAAUAGUCUAGUGGUAAAUCUAAAGUACUGUAACUCUGUUCAUGGUUGCACAGUUGUGUUUUGUCUGUAAUCGUCUAUGUUUAAUUCUAAUGUCUUUAAAGUUUCUGUAUGAUUCCGACAUUAUCAUACAAUCAGAUUCAAUUUGAUCGACGCGAAAACAGCUUCAUGCGUACAUCUCUUUCUUCUAGAUCACUUUUUCAGCGAAGCCGUCUUAUCAGAACGCCGAAGUGCUCAUUCCAGGAUUACCUCUUAGAUAGUUUCUUUCCAAGGAAAUCCUCGAUGUACCACUCGUGCAGUACGUCAAGUGCAAUCUAGGAAAAUUCAUACGGAUGAUCUAUCACUGAGGAAGGUAUACAUAAGAGUGUUAUAUAAUCAAGGUUCUACAGGUUUAGAAUUAAUGAUUUCGCCUUAACUCUUUUCCUCCUUGGGAUGUGAGGGUAAGGAAGAAUCAGUUAUUCGACUACCUUUUCAAUCUUAAUUAUAUACGCCUCGUAUACACGAAAUGGUGAUCGUGAAGCCCUGUAUGAAUUCUCAAAUGGACUUCAGGACGGAGAAACUGCCUAAGUAUACGAGUAAUCACAUCGUCAUAGACUUAGAACCCAGUACAACUCCCGAAAACAGAUCACCCUAUAGUUUAAACACCCACAGAGAUACAAGAACAGCACGAGCAACUUGGCGAACCACACAGAAAUAGAAUUAGAAGACUAGGUUUCUCACCCUAGAGAACCCCGGUCAGAUUCUUCCAGAGGUCGAUGGAUCGCAUCGUAGGUGCCUCGGUUAUCGAGGAAUCCGUCAAGAUUUUCAUAGAAAUCGUUAUCUCUGCCUCACAUAGACAAAAUGGUUGAGCAAACGUAAGGAAAGAAUCUACUUCCAGGAAUGGAUCUGGAAUCCGAAUAUCACCAGUUCGAGUGUUAGGGGAGGAUGUCCGGAAGACUAUCUCCUGAACCCGAUACGGACACUUCGAGUUCGUAGUGAUACCUUUCGGAUAGGACCAAUACGCCCAUGGUUUUCAUGAGUUAAAUGAAGGGUUACGUCUUUCUUACUUGGAUCAAUUCGUCAUUUUCCCCAUGAGAUGACUUACUUAUCUACCCUCGUAGUAAGAAGAAAGCCCAUGGUAACAAUCCUACAGUGGAACUUUUAGCAAAGUUCUCUAGGCACGAGUUUUGAAAUUGAAGAGUCAAAUUUCUAGGACACACUGAUAGUAGUGUGAGAAAUUUUGAGUACUCUCUCAAUUAGUCAAAACCGUUGAGCAUUUAUCAACACCAGAGACUCCGACAGUUUUUCGCCAGAUUCUAGGUCUUACCGACCUACCGCAUUAGUUCAUUCAGAACUCCUCGCAAGCUACAGAAACUCGUACGACUUUGACCCAGCAAGGGGUGGCCUUUGACUGGGAAGUUACGUAAGAAAAGGAACCUUUGAGAUUCCAAGUGAGUGACCAAGUUCUUUAGGAUAACUCACUCUGGGAAUGGCUUAAUACGCUUCGUAAAGCGUGGAAAUCUAAAUCCAAGUUAGACAGGACCUCCGAGAUUCUUAUCAGAAUCGGUCCUGUGCCUCUCACAAACAAGACCUACUCCGCGAACUCAGUAACGUACUUUCUACUCUUCGCAUCUCGAUCGUGAAACCAUACCUUUCCGUUAGGACUCUUGCAAGUCCACUCUUCGAGAUCCUCAACUUCGUAUUAGAACCGUAGUGACCCUCGACCGAGAGGUCAAGCGGACGAAGAAACGCCAUCGCCAGUUAGUGAAGGUUCGUUGGAAUGCCAACCGAGAACCCGUUAUCACUUAGGUGCGUUAGAACCAAUCGAUUAGGAAGUUUCCUCCUCACGACUCGAUUAUUCGUGCAUACUUCCUUGCUUAAAUUCUAAUUUCGGGACGAAAUUCCCUUUAACGGGGGGAUUCUGUGACAACCCGAUAUUUCGAGACAAUGUAAUGUAAAACCAAUCAAAUUUAGGUCAAAAUAUAACUUUCCUAAAAUCUUAUUUGGGUUAAUUAAAGUAGUAGGAACCGUAUCAAGGUUUUCGUACAUAUAAAGAACCCUAAAAUCCGAGUUAUAAUGAAGAAGUUAUGACCAACCGAAGAUUCUCGGAAAAACCGGCAUCAGCGAUUAAUCGUAAAACGCGAAAUUUCGAUGCAAUAGUUUUUAGCCUUAAGUAUCUAAAUGGAAGUUAUAGACAACCUCAAUCUAUGAUCGUGCAUAAAAAGAACGUCCAAAUCUGACUUCGGAUGUGAAAGUUAUGAAUUUUAGAAGAAAUUCCUUAAUCACGUCAUUUUAAUAAAUAAAUAAUAAAAAUAAUUUCGGAAUUUGCCAACGGAAUCUAAACGAAAGUUGUAGAUCUUGGUCUCACCUUCGCGUGGAUAUAAAGAACGUCAAAAACGGAGUUCGUAUGAGGGAGAUAUGAAUUUUAGAAGUUUAAUUAAAAUAAAUAUGAAUUUAAUUAUAAAUUCCCGGUAUUAUCCGAAGGGGAGUCAUCGGAUAGGACCGAAGUACGCCCUGCGUACCUUCGUACGCCCCGCGUACUGAGAUCGAGGGUCUCGGAUCGUCCACGUCGCACUAUCCGAAGAAUCUAACCCGUCCGACCCGUCCGAAGCUCCGACCCGUCCGACCCGCUGUCCCGUCCGACCCGCCGUCCCAUCCGACCCGCGUACCCAGCAACCCGUCCCAUCCGAACCGAGGCAGUCGAGGCUUCGGUCAUGCAUGACGUACGCGUACGCGCUGCGUACGAGCGUACGCCCCGCGUUCGGAGGCGGUUCAGCCUUCCUAUAAAUAGGAUGCGAGGCUUUCCGAAAAAGUUGCUCAAUUCUCUCAUUUCUCUCUCGAUCUUGCCUCGUUUUCCGUGCCCGUUAUAACCCGAAGCUCUGGUCUUUUUGCUCAAGUCCCGAGGGUCGAUUUUACUCCCGAGAUUCCCGAGAAUCCCGAGGAAAAUCCGUUUCCCGAGACGAAACUCUGCCCGGUUUUCCAUCUCGCUAUCUUCAAGCUUUCAUGUGAGUUCAUACCCCUUAAAUAAUGUUUUAAACUACUUUUAAAUGCUUUAGGGGGGGGGAUACAAGUAGAAUCAUGCUACUUAUUAUGUCAAUCGCAUGUGAUUAGUAAGUAGGAGUAUAUUACUUAUUACAUCAAUCACAUGUGAUUAAUAUACAACAUUCAAAAGAUUUGGCUACUCAUUAGCCGUUUUACCAAACAGUUUCCUUCAAAUGAUUUUUAUAAACAUUUUAUAUGUUUUAAACUCCUUAUUACACUGUACCUCUUACUCUGUUUAUCAUAUUUCAAACUUAUUUACAACUGUGUUUCAAACAAAUGUUCCUUAUACUUAUAUUGUUUUAUCAAACUUAUGCCUUCAAAUUGUUUUAUAGAUUGACAUCAAGUCGAUCUUUCCUUAAACUAAUAUUUAUGUUUCAAAUGUUUUACCAAACUUAUUUAUGCUUUUGUAUUAUAAAUUGCAUGCCUCUAUAUGUAUAGUUAUAUAAGAAAUGUUUAAAAGACUUAGGAAGGCUAUUCACCCUAUUUCCUUUUUCUCGAUUUGAAUGUGGUCUGGUGGGAUAUUGGAUACUCAUCCGAAGGUCGUUUAAAUAUUAGUUAUAUAUCAUGUGUACACAUAAAGUCAUAAAAGGUCCUUCCAAUUCAUCCUAUGCCCUUGGGUAGCAAGGGUAUACAUCCAUGUCCAUACGUACCACUUAGAUCACUAGUAAGCUACCAUAUGGGUAGUUCAGGAAGAUACUAGAACUAUUACUAGAACACGAUAUCAUACAACGAGUCAGUUCAUUCAUGAGUCAAUACUUUCUAGAAUGUUGCUGUGAAAUACAUAUACAUCUAUAUUAGGACGAGAACAUAUACAAUUAUACUAGAACACUUACAUGACAAUACAUGCUAGCUAAAGAGAUCACACAUUACAGCUAGCACACGUAGAACACUUCAGUACACCAUAAGUACAAUUACGUGAUCACACUUACAUGAGUACGCUUUCAUAUACAUAGGAUAGACGUCAUUAGGGGCUAUAGCUCAGAACCAGUUUAGGAUCUAACUAUACUGAUAAAUCACACUACGAAUGUGAUGGUUAUAUCGAGUAUACAUGAUCGCAGGUAAUGUGGUGCUCACGGCUUGCAUUCAUGCAGGGGUCGUGUGUGGGUCCUAAAAUCCCUCUGAUAGGGGAGCGAAACAGUCUGGGAUCUAGACAUCACAUUAUACCUUAUCCAUCAAAUAAGGCAAGUUGAGUAUCGGUGUAUUGAUAUAUAUACCUAAAUAUAUAUCCAAAUACUGUGGUACUUGGUAGGUUUACCCUAGAUUUAAGGUAAUAGGUACGGUUGUAGUUCGACACUACACCAUAGUACCAUUCCUUUCCCAUUACAUUCACUUCGCGAAUUUUCAUAGGAAGCGCGGCAAUGUAGAUGCUAUCUGUUGAUAAAUAGUAGCCCUUUUAGAGCUACGAUUUAGUACUACGUUAAUUUUUCCAGUACAUAUUUCAGUGAUAACCUCACUUAAACAUAAAUAUACAAAAGAUAUUUUGAGUAAUGAUAGUUAUACUUUGGAAAAAUACAUACUCUUACAAGAGACACAUACACACAGAACAGUUAAGUCUUGGUAGAAGACUCCUUUUGUUACUAAUAGGAAUCAUAGGGAUUUCUAGGGAUUUUCAAACAUAUACAGUUGAGCUACAAAUAUUUUCAUACUUAUACUCGUUUUCUUUCAAAGCAAUGUCAAGUCUUAGAAAUUAUAAGUUUUCACACAUUAAGACACAUUAAUACUUAUGAUCUCACCAGCUUUAAAGCUGAUACUCGCUUUCAAAAUUACUUGUAUCCUCAGGUCAUCAUAGACAGGUACCGAUGCAAGGAAAAACGGAAGAUGGAGCUUAUUCAAGACUUAUCUUUCAUUUUGAUUUAUGCUCUAGUGUUUAUCAAAAUUUGUCAGAAUACAAUUGUAUAAUAAUUAUUUUAUUAAUGCAAUGGAUGAUGUUGUUGCUUGUUUACUACUUUACAUUGUUGUUGAUAUUAUACAUGACGUCCUCCGCCCCAGAACGUUUCCGCCGUUCUCGGUUUUGGGGUGUGACAUGUUGGGUUUUUGAUGAGAUUACUUCAACUGCUAUAAUCAAACUCC